AAAAGGACACAAUUAAAAACUAAGAACCUUCCCGCUGCUUGAAACUGAAAGGACUAAUGGGAAGGUUUGAAGCAUCGGGCAAUAAUGGGAACCGAAAUAUACGCGAGAAGGACAAGUGAAUGACGAGGAUCCUGAAGUUUUUAAGCACUAGGGGCAAUUUGGUAACACUCCCUUUGUCCCUAUAGUGAAACGGUGUUCCUUAAAAAUACUUGCAAUUUCUCUCCCCUAUAAAUAUCAAUACACUCCAGCUCGUUCCUUUCGCACUUGUCAAACACAGAGAGAAAUAGAGAAAAAAGAGUCAGUCAGUCAGUCAGUCUAAUACUACAUACAAAAUGAGGCCAACAAGCACAACCAGCGCCACCGCCACCGCCGGAAUCAACAAAUGGAAUUCUCCGAUGCCUUACUUAUUUGCCAGCUUAGCAUUAAUGUUGGGGCUUAUCGCUUUAGCUUUGAUGAUCCUAGCUUGCUCUUACAGGAAUUCAUCAUCAGAUUGUUCAAAUUCAUCACCAGCUGAUGCCGGAGAAAAACCGGCCAAGCCGGAAAUGGAGCCAAAGAUGUUGGUAAUCAUGGCCGGAGAUGAGAAUCCCAGCUACCUAGCCACGCCUGUCGCGGCGAACUGAAGAAGUCUAAGCUAUUAAUUAUCUUUCCUUUUAAUUAGGAGUAUUAUUUAUUUUUUGGCCCAACAAAAUUAGCUUAGCCUUAUAUAUCUAGCUAGCUAGCAUUUCUUUGGAAAACAUAUAUGCUAGCUUAGGUAAUUAGACUUUCGGGAGUAUGUGAAUUGAUGAGCUUAGAAACUAGUAUGUCAUUUAAUAAAUGACAAUUUUUGGUUUGAAUUUAAUAUAUAUAUAGCUAUAUUUAUUUAUAUAUGAAUCAAUUUUUUUUUGCGUGAUUAAAUCAAUUUUUUCCCAAAAAUAUGGUAUAUAAAAACUUGUAUUUAAUGUUGUACUUAUAAAUAUACUUUUUACGAUAUUAUUACAUUUAUUUACAAGUUGUUGUCACCAUUUUAAUUAAUUUUAAGGUCAUUAUUAAUUUUUAAAAAGUUAAAAUUUAAAAAAUAUUUAGAUAUUUUAUACUUUUUAACUAUUAAUUAAAUAAUUUUUUAAGUUCAAAUGUUAUUUUAGAACUAGCUCGAAUGAUAUUAAUUUACCAUUCAAAUCUUAAUUUAUCCAAC
rnacentral:lncRNA from 1 species